rnacentral:rRNA from 1 species
UACAGAGGUCUCAAGCGUUGUUCGGAUUCAUUGGGCGUAAAGGGUGCGUAGGUGGCGCCGUUAGUCGGGUGUGAAAUUUCGGAGCUUAACUCCGAAACUGCAUUCGAUACUGCGGUGCUUGAGGACUGGAGAGGAGACUGGAAUUCAUGGUGUAGCAGUGAAAUGCGUAGAGAUCAUGAGGAAGACCAGUGGCGAAGGCGGGUCUCUGGACAGUUCCUGACACUGAGACACGAAGGCCAGGGGAGCAAACGGG